UAGAAAAUGGUGUAGAGGAAGCACCCGAAGUUUUGAUUUUCGGAGGAAGGGUUCAAUUCCCUUAUUUCUAA
rnacentral:tRNA from 4 species